CAAAAACAUAGUUAUGUGGAAUUUUACAUAAUUUUUUCUGCUCAAUGAGAUAUUUAAUAGCCGCAGUACCCUGACUGUGCAAAGGUAGCAUAAUCAAUUGUCUUUUAAUUAAAGUCGUGUAUGAAUGGGAUUAUGGGGGCAAGCUGUACCAUAUAUGCUAUAAUAAAUUACUAAGUGAGUGAAAAUUCUCCCAUUAAUUUAAUAGACGAGAAGACCCUAGAAAUUUUAAAAUGUUUUUUGUUGGGGCAACAUAGUAGCAAUUAACCUACUAUAUGAAUAUGAAAUAUAUUGGUUAAACUAAAUUACUCUAGGGAUAACAGCAUAAUACCGAAGUGAUUGUGACCUCGAUGUUGGAUUAGGAAGUUGUGGUUUAGAAGGUCACCAAUUGUGUCUGUUCGAGCA
rnacentral:rRNA from 1 species